UACGGGGGGGGUAAGCGUUGUUCGGAAUUACUGGGCGUAAAGGGCUCGUAGGCGGCCAACUAAGUCAGACGUGAAAUCCCUCGGCUCAACCGGGGAACUGCGUCUGAUACUGGGCGGCUUGAAUUCGGGAGAGGAAUGCGGAAUUCCAGGUGUAGCGGUGAAAUGCGUAGAUAUCUGGAGGAACACCGGUGGCGAAGGCGGCAUUCUGGACCGACAUUGACGCUGAGGCGCGAAAGCCAGGGGAGCAAACGGG
rnacentral:rRNA from 1 species